GAUGAACGCUGGCGGCGUGCCUAAUACAUGCAAGUCGAACGAAACUUCUUUAUCACCGAGUGCUUGCACUCACCGAUAAAGAGUUGAGUGGCGAACGGGUGAGUAACACGUUGGCAACCUGCCCAAAAGAGGGGGAUAACACUUGGAAACAGGUGCUAAUACCGCAUAACCAUAGUUACCGCAUGGUAACUAUGUAAAAGGUGGCUAUACUACCGCUUUUGGAUGGGCCCGCGGCGCAUUAGCUAGUUGGUAGGGUAAAGGCUUACCAAGGCAAUGAUGCGUAGCCGAAUUGAGAGGUUGAUCGGCCACAUUGGGACUGAGACACGGCCCAAACUCCUACGGGAGGCAGCAGUAGGGAAGCUUCCACAAUGGGCGAAAGCCUGAUGGAGCAACGCCGCGUGGGUGAAGAAGGUCUUCGGAUCGUAAAACCCUGUUGUUAGAGAAGAAAGUGCGUGAGAGUAACUGUUCACGUUUCGACGGUAUCUAACCAGAAAGCCACGGCUAACUACGUG
rnacentral:rRNA from 1 species